CAAGGACAAACAUAGCUAGUCCUCACUUACCAUUGGUUCACUGAGCCUUUCAAGUUACAAUGGGACUAUAGAAGCCGAUGUAAUUAUGAAGGUGCAGGAAAAGGAGUUGCACCAAUUCGGAUUCUGGCAACUGAUGCACUUUUAUAUCAUGGUUUCAGCAUCCCAGACUCAUAAUCCCCAUUUGUGACCUUCCCAGCUGGCUUCUGACAAGCAAACUCAAUGGGGAUGCCGGCAGAAAGGUGGAAGCCAGAGUCAUGUGAAAUUGCCUUUAACAACCCACAGUGAUUUGUUUAAGAACUGCAGAGGAACAGAUGCAAGUUGGCACUGUCAUGUGACUUCAUGAUUGGGCCACUUAGUGACACAGAUGCCAGUCCCAAUUGCAGUCAGUAAGUGAGGACUACUUCAAUUGGGAUGUCACCAAAGGAGUUGUGGAAAGUAUUUUCUGCCCUUACUGCAGCUCAGUGCUUCCAUGGGCAAAACUGGUGCUUCAAAUCUUGCAGAGGCUAAAGGCAUCAUUUCAUCAGUUAAAACCCCAAAUCUGUAAAUCUAGUGCCAUGCAGAUUGACAGGUGUGGCUCGAUAAAAUAAAAGACAGUCCAAGCGUGUGUGUUGAUAAGCCAAUGCAUUUAUUGGUCUGAAUAAAGAUGGGUCCCUCCUAAGAAGGAAGAAACCCAGAACAUAGUGCUAGGCAGAUACUUAUAAUUUGUUUGCUUUCACUUCAUUACAUACAGUAAGAGGCAGCUGGCACAUGACAGGUAAGAUACAGAAAUUCUAAAAAUAGUCAAGCAUGCCUUCUGUGAUUUUGGUCACUUGCCUAACCCACAGGCUGGUGGUUUCCUGUGAAAGUUUCCAUGGCCUCAGAAGCCUGUUGGGGCCUGAACAUCUCAACCUAUGAGCAAUCAUCCAAUUCAUCCAAUUCCUGGUUAAGAAUAGCACAGAAGGUUUGAGAUGUUUUUUAGACUUGAAAGACAUGGAUUUUCUCCAUAUUGUAGCAAUUUCCCUGGCUGUUGCAUCGUCUGACCCUUGGGUGUAUUUUCUUGGAUGUCUAUUCCUGGGAAGAUUGGCAACUGUCUGACAAAGAGGAUGGCAGUAAGAGCGUUUUGGACAACUGAGGAUAGCAAGCAACAUUGAACAGCAUAGCAAGUUAGUCGCGAAAUCAAAAUAUUUUCCAUUUCCUUCACAGAGCCUACAAUUCUUCACCUUCCUCAGCAAGUGAGAGAGAAACGAGAGAAAAUCAGGAAGAGAUUUCUAGCUUGGAAAAGAAGAGUGUGAAAUUCAAGCAUACAUUACAUGA